CUCAAACUGCUCAAUGUUUAAAGAAUUUAUUUAUUUUUGCAAAUGUACAAUUUUAGUACAAUAUUGCGUGAUAUGUUUUUUUUCCACAAAAACGGCUUUUCAUCUCCAUUACACAGUGAAUUCGUGCCAAUUCGGCUCUUGAUGUUCGUGCGUCAAUUAUAAAUGUAGAGAGACAUAUGUUAAAGAGCCAGAAACUAGUUUUUGGCACGGCAACUCUUGCUAAAAACUAGGUUUUAGAACUUUUUCUCAUGUACAACCCAUACGCCUUUUCGCUGCCAUUUCAUCACACACUCGUGCCUUUGUUCGCCCAAGAUAUUCCAUACCAUUUUGCGAUUGGGGGGAUUUCGUCUAGCAUAAUCCACACUCUCUCUCUCUGUCCAAGUCCAGUGGGAUGUUGGUGGUGGAAAUCCGUGGUUUUCACGAUGAGUUGGGCUGAAAAUGUCGAGGCACCGAAAUAUAGGUCGAUGGUGAAUUCUGCAUGAAAUCGCGUAUUGAAUUUGCACGAAGACGCGCUUCGGUUGGCGUCGUAUCGCCCGAGAUUACGUCACCUUACGUUCUCUCUCUCGGAUGUACAUAGGAGCAGCAGCACGACUUUAUAUAUAUUUCGCUUUGGUGUGUUCACGCAACAUUAGAAUUUGUGUUUUAUUUAAUGGCUCUUCGUGAGACCAAAAAACACAUCUCUUUUCGUCCCAAAACGAAAGGAGAGACAUCAACAAUGGAUGAGUUACAGUAUGGUCUCUCUCUCACCCCGCGCGGAACAUAUGUCUUUUCUGCGCACGCACACUUUUUCCUGCCCAUCGCGCGCCAAUUUGACGCGAAUUUUCGUCUCUUUUCUGGGGGACUCAUUUGAGAAUUUUUCGCAUUUUGACCGAUUCUUUUCGGCCAGGGUGGAUGACUGAUAAUAGUUAUACUUCUCUCUGUCUGAAAUCUAAUUCGGGUGAUUUUCGCACCUCUGACUUCUCGAUCACUCACCCGGUUCAAUGCAAAUUAAAAUUUUAAGAGACGACUUUUGAUAUAAAUUCACAUUUUCUCGCUGCUGAAAUACCCAUUUAUGACUCAUACGGCAAGAUUCUCCGUUAGGCGAAUUUACUACAUUGUUCUAAAAUCUGUACUAAAAAAAUCAAAAGAGAUUUGGGUUUUCGAGUGUAAUUUUCUUCUGGAUGAUUUCCAAAUUUUGACCAAGUCUUCAUCCUCAUCCAAAUCAAUUCACACUUGAGAGCUUGUGGAGGCAUGCAAAGGAGGACAAGUGGACGAGAUGGCAAAAAGGCAAAUUGAUCGCCUGCAAGAGAAGAGUUGGAGUGAAAGACGGAGAACGAGCAAACGCCAUAACGGAAUAUUUAGACUCUGUGCUGAGAUGUUUCAAGUGUUUGUGUCCCCCUUCGCGGGCCUCCGAGGUCGUCAUCGAAAAACACGGCAGAGAAUGAGAUAAUCCCACAACCACAGCGCGCCUCAUGGAAGAUCAACAGAGAAAAACGAGCCAAAUAGGCAAUUUACACAUAUAAUGAGUGCUGGAGAUACCGAAAAGAGCUUGCGUGGAACAAUGAAAAAUAAAUAAAACCCCAACGCAUGAUGGUGUAACAUA